ensembl:snoRNA
UAUCCCUGGUGGGGUAGAGCAGCACCACGUGGUUGGUGGUGUUCCCCUCAUAUCAGCCAGCAACAGCAUAACCCCUUGUUUAUCCCAGCUUGACUCUUGGUCUGUUCUCAUGCCUGGUUCAUGCCUUGGACACAAGG